GGGCGGUUAGCUCAGUGGUUAGAGCGCUUGCUUCACACACAAGAGGUCGCUGGUUCAAGUCCAGUACCGCCCACCA
rnacentral:tRNA from 1 species